GUCGACUACGUGGGAGUCCAGCGACAUAGCCAUUAUGCUAACUGCUGGUUCCCCAGAGUCACUUUUGAUGGUAGAACCUUCUCUGGCUCAGCAUUGGGCAGCAUCUCUACAAUCAGAGCUCCUGGAAGAGAUGGAACCAUGUCCAACCCAGCAAGAGGUCACAGCUCCUCCUCCACAGCCACUUAAUAGGGUGGAAUCUGCUCUAGUCAAGCAAAUGGCCCCCAGUCAACUUUCAGAGCCACGUAAGGUGGUUGCAGCUGAAAGUCCAGCAUCUUAUGAGAUGACAGUUCCAGCAUCAGGUCAUCAAACUCAAUCUCCAACACUGCCCAGCAUUGGAUUCCAGCCUUUGGAUCUGAUGCUUACUAUAACUCAAGAACCCACUGUAAGGGCUGAACAUUCUACAACCUUGAAGACUACAACUCAACAUCCAAACCUGGUUCAGACUCAGUAUCCAAACCUGAAUGAAGUCACAGUUCCACUUGUGGAUGUGGAAAUUACAAUAACUUCACGACCUACUGAAGACUAUGAUCUUCCUUCCUCCAACCAUGCAGGAGACCCCAACUCAAACUCCUACAGGAGUUUUUGUACCUCAACCCCCAAUAUAUCAGGAGGUGACAGUUCCAACAACACCAAGUCAGCAUCAGUCUCAGUAUCCUACAUCACCCAGUGUCACACCUGAACAUUUGGACCUGGGACUUACAGUUACUCCAGAACUCACUAUGGAGGCUGACCAUUCUACAUGGCUGAAGGAAACUACGGCUCCUCCAAAGUACCCUGAGGUGGCACUUCCACAUUCAGGUGGGGUUCAGGUUCAGAAUCCAAACCUCACUGAAGUCACCAUAACAUCACAACCUACUACAGAGGAUGAACUUUCUCCAGCCAUGCAGGAGACCCCAACUCACCCUCCAGAGCCUCCUCCAGAAGUUAUUGUAACUCAACCCCCAGUAAAUCAGGAGGUCACAGUUCCAACAACACCAAAUAAGGACCAAUCUCAGUAUCCAAUUCCACCCAGUGUCACAACUGCACAUUUGGAUCUGGGACUUACCAUAAGUCAAGAAUCCAGUACAGAGCUUGAACCUUCUUCGGUCAUGGAAGACACCCUAACGCAGCCUUCAGCGCCUUCUAAGGAGUCUGAAUCUCAGCCUGCAGCAUAUUAUGAAACAAUAUUCCCAACAUCAGCUCAAGAUCAAUCGCAGCAUUUAGCAUCUUCCAUCAUCACAGUUCAACCUUUGACCUAGCACUUAUUAUAACUCCAGAAUCUACUCUGGAAUUUAAACAUCCUCCAGCCAUGAAGAAGACUGUAGCUGCAUCUAAAGAGGUUGAAUCUCAAUCUCCAGUAUAUUAUGAAAUAGUCCCAACAUCAGCUCAAGAUCAAGCUCAGCAUCCAGUGUCGUCCAGCGCCACAGGUCAACCUUUGGACCUAGUGCUUACCAUAACUGCAGAGAUUAAACAUCCUACAACCCUGCCAAAGACUGUAACUCCAUAUCUACACCAGGUUCAUACUCAGCGUCCAACCCUACCCCUACCUCAAGACACACCUCAACCUUUGAAUCUGGAAAUUACCAUAAAUCAGCCACCACGGUCUUCUGAGUCAUUUAGUCUGCCUUCAGAAACUCUGAUGAUGACUUCUAGAAUGGAUUUAAAUGUGCAACCAGAACUGAUCACCACCGUGAAUGCCAACUUGUGGGAUCUCUGUAGCUGCAUAAGUGAGACAUUGUCACGUGUGGGUCUCAACUCCAAGCACAAGCUCCAGAAAGUGCCAGUGCCAGACCUCAGCAUUCACAAUGACACCUUCACCAUCAAAUUUCCAAGGAAACUCUAUUUCCUACAUUGAUAAAAAUCAUACCAUUGGACUGAAAAAUUGUUUCUUAGUGACAAUGAAUUGACUGAAUUACACAAGGAUUCAUUUGAAAGCCUGCUAUCUGUCCAGUAUUUAAAUGUUGGUUGUAAUUUAAUCACAGAACUGAGCUUUGGAACACUUCAGGCCUGGUAUGGGAUACAGUUUUUAUACAAGAUAAAUUGGUAAAAUAGCUGUGGAGUACAGACCCAAUGAAGAGACCCCAGAUACAAGAAGCGAAGAACUACAUGAUUUAAUUCAAGUAUGUGACAAGCGAAGCUCGAGGGUCAUAUAGCCAGUAUAGUCUUAAUUCAAAACAACCAGCAGGAUUUGGAAGACUUUGACAUAUAUCAUUGUUAGGAAAAUGUGACGUUCUG